rnacentral:rRNA from 1 species
UACGAAGGGGGCUAGCGUUGUUCGGAAUUACUGGGCGUAAAGCGCGCGCAGGUGGUCUUUCAAGUCAGUGGUGAAAGCCCGGAGCUCAACUCCGGAAAUGCCAUUGAAACUGUAAGACUUGAGGAUGAGAGAGGUGAGUGGAAUUCCCAGUGUAGAGGUGAAAUUCGUAGAUAUUGGGAAGAACACCGGUGGCGAAGGCGGCUCACUGGCUCAUUACUGACGCUCAGGCGCGAUAGCGUGGGGAUCAAACAGG